rnacentral:rRNA from 1 species
UACGUAGGUGGCAAGCGUUGUCCGGAUUUACUGGGCGUAAAGGAUGCGUAGGCGGACAUUUAAGUCAGAUGUGAAAUACCCGAGCUUAACUUGGGUGCUGCAUUUGAAACUGGGUGUCUAGAGUGCAGGAGAGGUAAGUAGAAUUCCUAGUGUAGCGGUGAAAUGCGUAGAGAUUAGGAAGAACACCAGUGGCGAAGGCGACUUACUGGACUGUAACUGACACUGAGGAACGAAAGCCAGGGGAGCAAACGGG